UCCUGGGUAGCUCAGUUGGUAGAGCACUCCACUGGAAAUGGAGAGCUCCCUGGUUCGAAACCAGAACCAGGCG
rnacentral:tRNA from 2 species